AUCUCACCACUGAUGUUGGCUCAUAAUCUUCAAUUAUCUUCAUGUCAUUCCUUUUACAGCUGUUCAUUUUGAGCACAGCAAGAUGAGAUGAUCCACGGUCCCAAGAAGUGAUGCUUCUUGAUGCCUUUAGACACAUGAUGAAAACUACUCAUGUAUAAGCCAGCCUUGGGUACAAUGAUAGGCCAUCUGGGCCUUCCAGAUUCCACACAUAUGACCUGCUUCCAACCAGUGCUGACCAGCCCUUGGAAAUUCUAUGUAAGUUCUGAGAAUUUUCUCUGCAUUUAUUCGUCUCUUCAUAUUAAAGUAGCAUGUAUACUUCAGGUGUUGUGCCCCCUUUCUGCCAUUUCCAGAGGAAUUAAUAGGUUUGAAUUUAGGGCUAGCCAAUGAGGGGGAGACAUAUGUAUGGUGUGCAUAUAAGAUCACAGCAACUCCUUUCUGGAGUCUAGCACUGGCAUUGGUCUUGUGUGGUGGCAUUCUUCUUGAGUUUGUUUGUAUUUAU
rnacentral:lncRNA from 1 species